rnacentral:rRNA from 1 species
AUUGAACGCUGGCGGCAGGCUUAACACAUGCAAGUCGAACGAGUGGCGGACGGGUGAGUAAUGCUUGGGAAUCUAGCUUAUGGAGGGGGAUAACUACGGGAAACUGUAGCUAAUACCGCGUACCAUAGGAUGAGCCCAAGGGGGAUUAGGUAGUUGGUGAGGUAAAGGCUCACCAAGCCGACGAUCUCUAGCUGGUCUGAGAGGAUGACCAGCCACACUGAGACUGAGACAGGCCCCAGAGUCCUAGGGGAGGCAGCAGUGGGAAUAUUGCGCAAUGGGGGGAACCCUGACGCGGCAAUGCCGCGUGAAUGAAGAAGGCCUUCGGGUUGUAAAGUACUUUCAGCGGGGAGGCGUUACCCGCAGAAGAAGCACCGGCUAACUCCGUGCCAGCAGCCGCGGUAAUAC